rnacentral:rRNA from 1 species
GGGUUGUGAGGUUAAGCGACUAAGCGUACACGGUGGAUGCCCUGGCAGUCAGAGGCGAUGAAGGGCGUGCUAAUCUGCGAUAAGCGCCGGUAAGGUGAUAUGAACCGUUAUAACCGGCGAUACCCGAAUGGGGAAACCCAGUGUGAUUCGUCACACUAUCAUUAACUGAAUCCAUAGGUUAAUGAGGCGAACCGGGGGAACUGAAACAUCUAAGUACCCCGAGGAAAAGAAAUCAACCGAGAUUCCCCCAGUAGCGGCGAGCGAACGGGGAGUAGCCCAGAGCCUGAAUCAGCAUGUGUGUUAGUGGAAGCGUCUGGAAAGGCGCGCGAUACAGGGUGACAGCCCCGUACACAAAAGCGCAUGUACUGUGAGCUCGAUGAGUAGGGCGGGACACGUGGUAUCCUGUCUGAAUAUGGGGGGACCAUCCUCCAAGGCUAAAUACUCCUGACUGACCGAUAGUGAACCAGUACCGUGAGGGAAAGGCGAAAAGAACCCCGGCGAGGGGAGUGAAAAAGAACCUGAAACCGUGUACGUACAAGCAGUGGGAGCACCCUUUGGGGUGUGACUGCGUACCUUUUGUAUAAUGGGUCAGCGACUUAUAUUCUGUAGCAAGGUUAACCGUAUAGGGGAGCCGGAGGGAAACCGAGUCUUAAU